rnacentral:sRNA from 1 species
GCUGGAUGUGGUGGCACACACCUGUAAUUCCAGUAGCUCAGAAGGCUGAGACAAGAGAAUUGCAAGUUCAAAGCCAGCCUCAGCAAUUUAGUGAGGCCCUAAGCAACUUAGCAAGACCUUGUCUCAA